rnacentral:rRNA from 1 species
UACAGAGGUCUCGAGCGUUGUUCGGAUUCAUUGGGCGUAAAGGGCGCGUAGGUGGCGUCGUAAGUCAGGUGUGAAAUCUCGGGGCUCAACCCCGAAACUGCACUUGAUACUGCGAUGCUUGAGUACUGGAGAGGAGAUUGGAAUUUACGGUGUAGCAGUGAAAUGCGUAGAUAUCGUAAGGAAGACCAGUGGCGAAGGCGAAUCUCUGGACAGUUACUGACACUGAGGCACGAAGGCCAGGGGAGCAAACGGG